AUGGCCUUCCUCCACCCCCCUGGCCUGCUACCCACCUCCUCGACCCGCCACCAGGGAGGAGUCCCGCUCGGUCCCCCUCGUCCUCCUCCUCUGUGCCGAGCCACCUCCAUGGCCGCUGAGCCACCACCUUACGCUGCCCGUUCGUCGCCCCACUGCUGCGUCCUGCUUCUCCCGACGCCGCCGCGCGCCAAGUCUCAACCGGAGCACAGCGCUUCUGCCGUCGCCGCACCAAGCUCCCUGCUCCUGCCGUCGGAGCCCUGCACCAGGCUCGACCCCGAGCAGCACCGCUCCAGUUCUCCACUGGAGCUCUUCUCCCGUGCGCCGUCGCCGUCCAAGUCCAGCAAGCCACCGCACCGCUGCCUCGCUGCAGCUGCUCCUUCACUGUUCCGUUCUGCUGCCUCCCGCGUCCAGUCGCCGCCGGUGCCCACGACCAGCACUGUGCCUCUGCUCGUGGAUGCCGCUGCCAGUGUGCGCACCCUGCUGCUACUUCGUCGGCCGCCUCCCUUCGUUGACCACAAAGAACCGAGGCCUAUUUUUUGUUGCUUCGUUUGGAUGCGUCAAGUUCCUCUACUAGCCGUGCACGCCUCUGGAUUCGUCCAAGUUCCAACGAUGUUUUUGUACAACUACGCCGCGGAGACCAAAACCGGCAAGUCCACACGGGAGCCCGAACAACUACUUCCACGAUGA
rnacentral:rRNA from 1 species